GUGCAACGUUCUGGUAAUUAUGAUUGCGAAAUAGCGAGGGGUUCGAGGGUAUAAAAUGGCCGACUGCAGGAUGCUGGACACACUCUUGUUUUUGCUUGAUUCGUGCUACGGUCCAAGGCUUUAAGGCAAUCAAUCCCACUUGCUGCAGACAGAUUUUUUGGAAACCUUUUAUUGAUAAUGUGUUAUAUGUUAGUCAUCUAAUAGUAAAGAAUGGCUUUUGUUGGUGAUAUAAGAAAGAAAAAUACUAGUUAAAAUGAUUUAGUUAGAUCCAUUUCCAUGGAAUAUCAGAUGGUAUGAACAUCUUAUCACUUGAUCAAAUCAUUGCUAAAUUCUUCCCCAAAAGGUUGUGUCAGUGUUUACUCAGAAGUACUGCCUGAUGGCUUUAGAUAAAUUGUGUAAAAAAAAAAAAGCCAUCCUUUUUAAUUGGUGAAAUUAUAUUUUUUCUUUGUAUGUUUCUCAAUUUUAUCUUUAUUCAUAUGAUAUUUCAUAUCUUACUAUCUGUUGAAGAAAUAUUAACUUUUACUGUUUACUGCCCGUUAUUCUACUACUCAGAUUUCUAUAACAUGGAUAAAUAAGUACGUGUUAUUAUUAUUUGACAUCUCAUCUUUUUAAAUUUUGGGGUAAUAGAGAGUUGAGACCAUGUGGUCAGAUUUUAUUUUCUCCCAUUCUUCAUUUGAGUAGGUCUCCACACAAAUUAAAUACUCACUGUGGCUUUGUCUGUGGAUAACCAUUCAGAAGAAAAAGCUAAUAGCACCCAGAGAUUGUGUUAACUAGAUUGUUUACUAGUUUUCUUUGUGUAUUUUUCUGUACAGUUGAUAUACUUCAUAUUAUAUUUUCUGUUUAACAUUAUGUUCAUAAUUUCACAUUUGUCAUUCAGUGGUUUCAUAUGUGUAACUAUAUAAUUUUUUAGUAAAUUAUUUAAUGAAAGUC